GAUGAACGCUAGCGGCAGGCCUAAUACAUGCAAGUCGAACGGUGUCUUCGGACAUAGUGGCGCACGGGUGCGUAACACGUAUGCAACCUACCUUACAUUGGGGGAUAGCCUUUCGAAAGGGAGAUUAAUACCGCAUAAGACAGUAGCUGGGCAUCCAGCAGCUGUUAAAGAUUUAUCGAUGUAAGCUGGGCAUGCGUCCAAUUAGCUAGUUGGUGAGGUAACGGCUCACCAAGGCAAUGAUUGGUAGGGGAACUGAGAGGUCAAUCCCCCACACUGGCACUGGGAAACGGGCCAGCCUCCUACGGGAGGCAGCAGUAGGGAAUAUAGGGCAAUGGACGCAAGUCUGACCCAGCCAUGCCGCGUGCAGGAUGAAGGCGUUAUGCGUUGUAAACUGCUUUUAUACAGGAAGAAACGACUCUUGCGAGAGGCAUUGACGGUACUGUAUGAAUAAGCACCGGCUAACUCCGUGCCAGCCGCCGCCGCCGUAA
rnacentral:rRNA from 1 species